rnacentral:rRNA from 1 species
CUAAUACCGAAUAUUCAGCCUUGCAGGCAUCUGCGAGGCUGGAAAGUUUCUCGGUCUGGGAUGAGCCCGCGGCCUAUCAGCUAGUUGUGAGGUAAUGGCUCACCAAGGCGACGACGGGUAGCCGGCCUGAGAGGGCGACCGGCCACACCGGGACUGAGACACGGCCCAGACUCCUACGGGAGGCAGCAGUGGGGAAUAUUGCGCAAUGGGCGAAAGCCUGACGCAGCAACGCCGCGUGCGGGAUGAAGGCCUUCGGGUUGUAAACCGCUCUCAGCAGGGAAGAAGCGAAAGUGACGGUACCUGCAGAAGAAGCACCGGCUAACUACGUG